GACGAACGCUGGCGGCGUGCUUAACACAUGCAAGUCGAACGGAAAGGCCCUGCUUGCGUGGGGUGCUCGAGUGGCGAACGGGUGAGUAACACGUGAGUAACCUGCCCUUGACCUUGGGAUAACUUCAGGAAACUGAGGCUAAUACCGGAUAGGAGCUCCUGCUGCAUGGUGGGGGAUGGAAAGUUUCGGCGGUUGGGGAUGGACUCGCGGCUUAUCGGCUUGUUGGUGGGGUAGUGGCUUACCAAGGCUUGGACGGGUAGCCGGCCUGGGGGGGUGACCGGCCCAAUGGGGACGGGGAUACGGCCCGAACUCCUCGGGGAGGCAGCGGUGGGAAUUAUUGCACAAUGGGCGGAGGCCGAUUGCAGCAACGCCGGGUGCGGGAUGACGGCCUUCGGUUUGAAACCCGCUUUCGCCUGUGACGAAGCGUGAGUGACGGUAAUGGGUAAAGAAGCACCGGCUAACUACGUG
rnacentral:rRNA from 1 species